GGGGGUAUAGCUCAGUGGUAAGGCACGUGCUUGGCAUGCACAGGGUCCUGGGUUCAAUCUUCAGUGCCUCCG
rnacentral:tRNA from 1 species